GCAUCGUGGAGAUGGCUCUAUGGGUAAAGGACUCGCCUUCAAGCAAGAUGACCAGAGGUGGGGCCGUCAUCAUACAUGUGAGUACCAGGGUUACUGGACAUUGAGCAUAAGGUACUGAAGGAUCUGUGAUAAGACAAUCACAAGCUGAACAUCAAGAUUAUUUCCAAUGAAAAAAAGACCAGAGAACACUUCAUCCCAAGUCACUGACGACCAGAAACUUGUGUUUCAGAACAACAGUAACAAGAUGUAUAUAUGGAGGUGUGAAUUCCACUUCUAGAAUUAACUAGGUCAAAAGUUUUUGCUGUUGCAUCCAAAUGAACCAAGAUAAGAAUCCACCGAGCAACCUUAUCCCUCUCGAGAAGCCAGCACUCACAUCCAGAGUGUGCAGUCUUUCCUUCCUUGACUUUUUUUUCCCCUUAAGACUAAACCUAAAACUAUGCUGGAGACUUUUCUUAAUAUAGACCUCAACCCUUCCUCAAGAUUAAAAAAAAAUCCAUAUUCUGAUUCCUUUUUAUGAAAAUUGUAACAUCAUAGCUAGAAUUACUUAGUUUGAACUGAAAUAGGAAUCCAUACCAGGGUCUCUUUUUAGACAAAAACCACUGAUAACAUGAAGUUCCACCUUCCUUCCUCAAUUCCCUGGGAAUAGAUCAUCUUCUCUGCUCCUCCUGAAGGCACUCAAUGGAGAGGGUGUGUCAACUGAACGGGUUGCUUGGCAAAGCCCAGCGCCAUGAAAGGGCGGAACAGAAUGAAACCACUAACUGUCAAGAGAUGCAGUGGGACCUUGGGAAGGAUGCUGCACACACCUAAAGCCAAACAGAAAACAUCUCGGAACUUCUUCAACUGAAGCCAAUGAGACUAUGCUGCAGAUCAGACUGGACUGAAAAAUCUUUGAGCUCUUCCACAGUUGGGCAUGGUCGUACUGGGCUGGUGAGCCAUUUUCUUAAAUAAGGCACAGUGCUGGUCUAACAUUAGCUUAACAGAAUAAUUAUCAAGUGAAAAAUAAUGGCUGCACUGCUGAGAACCUGAAUGGUGGCUCUCAUAAUUACUAAUUUGGAGCUUGUAUUUUAAAAAUUAAAAUACAGAGCACAAGAUUUUAUCCAUUCAUUUUUCUGUAGUCAGGGUACAGAAAGUGACACAUAGACCACCCCUGAGGAAGGUUAACUAAAUAAGUGGGUUUUUGCACUGAAAUCAUGUCCAUUAAGAAGAUCCUAGCAGCUACUCACUGACUGCUCAGGACUACUUAUUUUAUACAGCUUGAUGAUUUAAUCAGACUUUACAUAGGAGAACACUCCAAUCACGCAUUUAAGGAAUUUAUAAGUCUGUGUGCUGUGGAUGCCAUUUUAGGUUUGAGUUUAAAUCUGAGUCUCAAGCCCUGAUUCUUUCAACAAAUUUGCAAGUUAUUCCAUGAUCUGUCUUACAUUCCAAAACAAGAUGGGUUGCAGGAAUUCGAGAUUGUGUUAGUGCGAAUACUUUGAAAAAUGGGGAAAAUACCAGGUGCCACACAGUGCCUGCAGCUAGCAAAGCCCACAUGUUGGGUUGCAGCUGUACACCAGUGUUAGAAGUCCAUCAGCAUGUAUAGAAGCCUCAUAUUUGUUGGAUGGAGAAGUAGCUCUGGGAUAGAUAUAGUUCUUGCCCUAUUUGUACAAGGCUGUCCCUGGCUGCUAUCCCCAACAACACCAAAAGAGAGAGGUAGAGAGAGCAAGAGAGAGAGAGAGAGAGAGAGAGAGAGAGAGAGAGAGCAAGAGGUGGGGGGGGAAUUAGAGUUAGACCAAGUAUUUACAUAUAAUUAAGCCACAUCAUUUUUUAAUAUAAAAGUAGACUGAUAUAGAAAGUUAAAAAAAUAAUAUAGCAAUUUUCCUACAUGUUGACCUGUAUUGUUGUAGUCGUGGACACAUCUGAGAUGGUUGCUCUCAAGAAAAUUUUAAGACAAAAUAAUACAAAGCUAACAGCAGUCAUCAUGUUAUAUAUCAGAUAAAGUAUGCCUACGUUCUAGUUAUUCCUACCUUUGACUAAUUAUAUUUUUAAUUC
ensembl:antisense Gm43507 predicted gene 43507